UCAUUUUCUUUGUCUCUCCCUUAAAUCACCAAAGCCUUAAUUCCUUUUUCUUUCAAUCUCACUAUAUAUAUACUUUCUGGAGUUUUAACACAAACCCCACAUAGAAAAAAUUACUUAUCAAAAAAAAAAAAAAAAGAACAAGACCCUGUUGGAAAGGAUGAUUAUUUAUCAUGACCCGACACUGAAAGUAUUGACUCAGCACAAAGCUUUACUCCAUUGGUGCUGAUUACAACACUUGGAGUCAGGUUCGAUAUCUAAUGGAUAGAAAGGAUACUUCAGGAUUCGUAAGCGGAGGUUCUGAAAAGCUCUUUUUGAACACAUAUAAUCCUAGUUUAGCCACUAACUAAUUUUUAGCUCCGGAAGUCAGGCCGACUGUUCUUUUGCAAUCGAGAUUUGGUUCAAUAGGAGUCUUACAUCCUAGCUAUUGAAAAAAAUAAUCAUGGAUCCCAGAUUCCACUAUUUAAUGCCUUCAAUCCCUGCCACAAAGGAAAUAAAACAAAAUUGGAACGUGAUUCGUGGAUCUAUUGAUCAGCAAAUUGAUUCAUCUUUGUGUCUAAGCUUAGGCCAUUCAUCAAGUCCUUCAGAAAGUAAGCGGAGUUCAGGCAUUGUAUGCACCUCAAUAUCUCCAGCGAAAGAAAGUGAUGAGUCGUCGAUGGACCUGGAAGUGGACUUUGGUCUUUAUCUUGCUAAUGAGAAGACACCAAGGCCAAAAAGUUUGACUAUCUCCGAUCCAAAAGUACUUGAUGCGGGGCCUGCAAUUGAUCUGGAACUUAGUCUUUCCAGUAGUGCUGCUGAAUCUGAUGUUACUACUUUGCAUCUGACCUCCACUUCACCACAAAGUAUCGUGAAGGUCCCACAUGGUUUUCUUGGAGCUUUUCAGACCGAUGAAGUAUCAACCGAUUCUCAUUGGAAGACUGGUAGUGAUUUUCAUCCCUUACAUGUGCCACAGCACAAAGGGUCUAGUUACUGCUCGAAGCAGGCGAUAAAAGAAGUUGAGCCAUCUCCAAAAAGCCCAGUCAGUUGUACUUCGGGGUCGACAAAGCAGCAGCAACGGAGCUGCUGUAUCAAACGGUGUCAGUUCAAGGGAUGUGUUAAAGGAGCAAGAGGUGCUUCCGGUUUUUGCAUUGCUCAUGGUGGAGGCCGUAGGUGUCAGAAACCGGACUGCCAUAAAGGAGCCGAAGGUCGAACCGCCUUCUGCAAAGCCCAUGGCGGGGGCCGCCGGUGUGAGUUCCUAGGGUGUACUAAGAGUGCAGAAGGACGGACCGAUUUCUGCAUUGCACAUGGGGGUGGACGACGUUGCAGUCAUGAAGGCGGCUGCACCCGUGCUGCCAGAGGGAAGUCAGGGUUAUGCAUUAGACAUGGCGGGGGCCGGCGGUGUCAGGAAGAAAACUGCACGAGAAGUGCUGAAGGACUCUCUGGCCUUUGCAUUUCACAUGGAGGUGGCCGGCGGUGUCAGUACCCGCAGUGCCCUAAAGGGGCUCAAGGAAGCACCGUGUUUUGCAAGGCUCACGGUGGUGGGAAACGUUGCACGUUCGAAGGGUGCAAUAAGGGCGCGGAGGGAAGUACGCCUUUCUGUAAGGGCCAUGGUGGGGGGAAAAGAUGUUCGUUCAAAGGAGGUGGUGGGGUUUGCCCCAAGAGCGUGCACGGCGGGACCCUCUUCUGUGUGGCGCAUGGUGGCGGUAAGAGAUGUGCUGUACCAGAGUGUUCCAAGAGUGCUAGGGGCCGGACAGAUUUUUGUGUGCGCCAUGGUGGUGGUAAAAGAUGCAAGUUCCAAGGCUGUGGAAAAAGUGCUCAGGGAAGCACUGAUUUCUGCAAGGCCCAUGGUAGCGGAAAGAGAUGUUCGUGGGGUCCACCUGGUUCCGAAUUCAGCCAAAAUGAUAUUCCUUGUAACUCAGACAAACGUGUUCAUGGUGUUGGCACUCUAGGGGCUGUGAUCUUGGAUUCAACACCCCAAAAUCCUGGGAAGAUGAAGGAGAUUGUCAAUGCAGAGGACAUGUAUAAUAACAUUUUGACAUCUAUCGGUUGGAAAUAUUUUGGAUUCAACCAAGCGAAUAUGCCAGUAGGUGGAAGCUCAUCAGCAGUUUCCGAAGGAAGAGUGCACGGAGGAGGUUUGAUGGCAAUGUUGGCAGGUGGUUCUGGCCAUACAUUAAAUAGCAGCACGGCACAGUGACUACAUCCCAGCCAGGCAAAUGUUUUGUAACUCCAAAGAACUGGACGUGAGAAAUUCCAACGGAUGCCUGUCGGAUCCUUCAUAAGUAGUGCAUUUUUUAAGGAUCCGACACAAGUGCGGCAACUUGGGAGAGUCCGAGCAAAAUAGGUUCUGAUAGCCUCAAAGAGGUUUAGCUAACCAGUGCUGUGAUAAUUCAUAUAUGUUCCUGGCAAGUGGUUAAAUUACUAGAAGACUUUCUCAUCAAUAUGUUGUACUUACCACUCCAAAAAACAGGAAAUAGUGAUGGACAACUUCUGUCACUAAACAACAAACACUUGUCGCUAAUCCUAUUGUAGCAACGGAUGUGUUAUUUAGCAAAAUAUUGGGUACGAAUUUCAUAGGUAAUUCUUGUUUUCAUAUAUUGCCAGUACCUUAAUUUUCUUUUACUUUCAGAGGAUU